ACGUGGGUGAGUCGGUCCUAAGGGAUGGGCGAAAGCCUGUGAGUUAAGCGCGCAUUCGUGGUACGUGCCCGUGUUUACCUGAGGGGCUGCGUGCUUUUGCGCUUCACGGCGUGGGAGUGCGUGGCGCUGAGGGUGGCGUGGGUGCGUCUACGGCUUGAAAGAGUGGCGUGAUCUCCCGAAAGGGAAUCGGGUUAAUAUUCCCGAACCGGACACUUGGAUGCUGCCGGCGUUGUCGGUUGGGCUUCGGCUCGGCUGCUACAGCAAAGGUAGGCCACGGCGACGUAUACGACCUCGGAGACGCCUGCGAUAGACCUGGGAAGAGUUGUCUUUUCUUCUUGACCGUACCUACCGUGCACUUGGCCCUGGAAGCAGUUUACCUUGAGAUAGGGCUGGAGGUCGGGCAAAGCGUCGUACUUGUUGCGGCGUCCGGUGCUCUGUCGUGGGUCCUUGAAAAUCUGAGGAAGCGUGUUUGYGAUCUCGUGUUCGGCCGUACCCAUCACCGCA
rnacentral:rRNA from 1 species